GUGGGGCGGGGCCUUCCGGCUGUCACUCAGUCCGGGUGGGCAGGGCCACGGUGAAAGGGCGGUGCCUCGGUCGUUGUAAAUCGGGAGGAAAUGGAGUAAAGUGUGCAGGAUCAGAAUCCAGUGUGAGCGCAAGUCUCGUCUUAGUUGUUCCAGGCGAUGAGAAACUCAGACCCGAUCGAUUUAUAACUGAAACCUUCAGGGAUCCAUGGGGUUCCUCAUCCCCUUGUGCCUCCUAGAACUCUCCAGAAAACCUCCCACCUCUACCCUACGGCUCCACCCUCCACACACUUCCGGUUUCUGCCCUGACUUCCCUUGAUGAUGGACUGUAAGACAAAUAAAUCCUUUCCUUCCCAA